GACGAACGCUGGCGGCGUGCCUAAUACAUGCAAGUAGAACGCUGAAGAGAGGAGCUUGCUCUUCUUGGAUGAGUUGCGCACGGGUGAGUAACGCGUAUGUAACCUGCCUUGUAUCGGGGGAUAACUAUGGGAAACGAUAGCUAAUACCGCAUAACAAUGGAUGACACAUGUCAUUUAUUUGAAAGGGGCAAUUGCUCCACUACAAGAUGGACCUGCGUUGUAUUAGCUAGUAGGUGAGGUAAUGGCUCACCUAGGCGACGAUACAUAGCCGACCGGAGAGGGUGGGCGGCCGCACUGGGACGGAGACACGGCCCAGACUCCUACGGGAGGCGGCAGUAGGGAUUCGUCGGGCAGAGGGGCGAACCUGACCGCGAAGGGCCGAGGGAGUGAGGAAGGUUUUCGGAUGGUAAAGGUCGGUUUUCGGUUAAGAACGGGUGUGAGAGUGGAAAGUUGCCACUGUGACGGUAGCUGACCAGAAAGGGACGGCUAACUACGUG
rnacentral:rRNA from 1 species